UACGUAGGGCGCAAGCGUUGUCCGGAAUUAUUGGGCGUAAAGAGCUCGUAGGCGGUUUGUCACGUCGGGUGUGAAAGCCCGGGGCUUAACCCCGGGUCUGCAUUCGAUACGGGCAGACUAGAGUGUGGUAGGGGAGAUCGGAAUUCCUGGUGUAGCGGUGAAAUGCGCAGAUAUCAGGAAGAACACCCGUGGCUAAGGCGGCUCUCUAGUACGGUACUGACGCUGAGACGCGAAAGCGUGGGGAGCGAACAGG
rnacentral:rRNA from 1 species